rnacentral:rRNA from 1 species
UACGAAGGUCCCAAGCGUUAUCCGGAUUUAUUGGGUUUAAAGGAUGCGUAGGCGGACUAUUAAGUCAGUGGUGAAAGCCCCAGCUUAACUUGGAACUGCCAUUGAUACUGAUGGUCUUGAGUACAUUUGAGGUGGGCGGAAUGUGUCAUGUAGCGGUGAAAUGCUUAGAUAUGACACAGAACACCGAUUGCGAAGGCAGCUCACUAAACUGUAACUGACGCUGAGGCACGAAAGCGUGGGGAGCAAACAGG